UACGUAGGGUGCGAGCGUUGUCCGGAAUUAUUGGGCGUAAAGAGCUCGUAGGCGGUGUGUCACGUCGGCCGUGAAAACCUGGGGCUUAACUCUGGGCGUGCGGUCGAUACGGGCAUCACUAGAGUUCGGCAGGGGAGACUGGAAUUCCUGGUGUAGCGGUGAAAUGACGCAGAUAUCAGGAGGAACACCGGUGGCGAAGGCGGGGUCUCUGGGCCGAUACUGACGCUGAGACGCGAAAGCGUGGGGGAGCAAACAGG
rnacentral:rRNA from 1 species